rnacentral:lncRNA from 1 species
AUUGAACAAAAACCACUGCUAUAAAAUCAAUCAGGGCUUAUGCUUGCGCCUUUACCGCAUAUGUACUACCUGAAAUAUUGAUUUUAGGAAAAACAUGAAAGAGAUCAAAAUUGUAUAAAAUUUAAUUCUCUCCAUUUUUGUGUAGGUACAUUUUUGUUAUAAAACUAAUAAUAAACGAGAUAAUUCAAUAAUUAAGCUGUAACUGUCACUCUUUCCCCCAUAACUCAG